rnacentral:rRNA from 1 species
AUGUGUGUUCCGAAGAAGAAGGGAGGUAUGGGAUUUAGAGACCUUCAUAGCUUUAACCUUGCUAUGUUAGCAAAGCAGUGUUGGCGACUGAUCCAGAAUCCUGACUCUUUGUGUGCACGUGUUCUAGCAAAAUACUAUCCUGAUGGUAAUAUUCUGAGAGCUGGCUCAAAGAAAGGCUCCUCGUUUACAUGGCAAAGUUUGGUUGCUGGGAUACAAACUUUC